CUCACUUCAUAACAACCUGUUCUCCCUAUAACAAAUCUAGUCCUGCAAGAGUGAGAACACCCUCACUCCUGUGAAAACUAAUGCAUUUCCUUGAGUAGUUGAAGAUAUUUGAGUAAGCAGGUGACACGGUGAGAGGAAUGUUUGCGGAUCAUCUGGCAGCUGCACGCAGGUUUUGUUGGCAUGGAAAAGACUGGGGCCUGGGAGAGUAGUAAUUCAUUUUUGCGGAAAUCCAGUAGGGGGAUUGCGGGAUUGAAUGGUAGUUCUGUGUUUAGUCCUUUAAAGAAUCUUCAUAUUGUAUUCCGUAGUGGUUGACCGAUUUACAUUCCUACCAACAGCAAAAAGUGUUCCCUUUUACCACAUUCAUGCCAACAUCUAUUAUUUUUGAUUUAUUAAUUAUAGCCAUUCUAUAAGAGUAAGGUGGUAUCUCAUUAUGGUUUUAAUUUGCAUUUCCUUGAUAAUUGGUGAUGUUGAGCAUUUUUCACAGGUUUUUUUUGGCUGUUUGUAUAUCUUCUUUUGAGAAUUAUCUAUUCAUGUCCUUUGCCCACUGACUGAAUUUUUUUUUCUUGCUAAUUUGCUUGUGUUCCUUAUAGGUUCUGGAAACUAGUCAUUUGUCAGAUGAUUUUCUCCCAUGCUGGGUUGUCUGUUUACUCUGCUGAUCAUUUCUUUUGCUGUGCAGAAACUUUUCAGUUUAAUCAGCUCUGUUGAUCUCAUCUCUGCUGACGGCAGCAUGGCUGAUGGAACUUCAAGGAGUCGCACCCAGGUACAGCAGAGGCAUCAAGGGACACUCUUUUUUGGUUCUUUUUCUUAUAACUGAGAAAAUCUUUUUUCUAGAAACCUCUGCUCUUGUCUGUCUGAAAUUUUUUGUCAAGUUUCACUCGCCCGAAGUAACAUAGUAAGUCACGUGUACUACCCCUACACAAGCCAGUGACAAAGGUGUGGAAAUGACAAACAUUGGCUUUGAUGAAAAAUAAUGUAUCCCGGAGCCAGGAACAGGGUGCCACUCCCUGAGCCCGAGGAACUGAAGAAAUGGAACUCUGUGUAGCACCAAAGAACCGAAGAGAUAGUGAGUAGGAAACUAACAAUGUCUGCUACCUUCUGUCCUGAAGAGUCACCCAAUGAAUAUCUAAAGCACCCCCCCACCCAGAUCCUUCUGGAUUCCUGUCAUUCUUAUGUCUGCCCUGGGCAGCCUUCCAUUCAUUCUGCGAAUUCCCUGAAGUUUUUCAAUAAAUUUCUUAUCUCCAGUUAGCCUAAAUCGCGU
rnacentral:lncRNA from 13 species